UAUUGGCAGGAAUUAAUUGAGACUUUAGCAUGGGCUCAUGAACGCACACCUUUAGCUAAUUUACAGAAACUACCAUGUCCACCAGUUUCUGUAAAUUUUUAGGAUGAUCAGCCACACUGGGACUGAGACACGGCCCAGACUCCUACGGGAGGCAGCAGUGGGGAAUUUUCCGCAAUGGGCGAAAGCCUGACGGAGCAAUGCCGCGUGGAGGUGGAAGGCCUACGGGUCGUGUUAAUUUAGUUUGUUUUUUUGUACUGUAUCAGCACCUAGUUCAUUACUCUUGAUAGAGAGGGAGGAUCUGCCUUUUUAGAUUU
rnacentral:ncRNA from 1 species